rnacentral:rRNA from 1 species
UACGUAGGGUGCAAGCGUUGUCCGGAAUUAUUGGGCGUAAAGAGCUCGUAGGCGGUCUGUCGCGUCGGAUGUGAAAAUCCAGGGCUUAACCCUGGACCUGCAUUCGAUACUGCCGAGCUAGAGUAUCGGAGAGGUUGGUGGAAUUCUCGGUGUAGAGGUGAAAUUCGUAGAUAUCGAGAGGAACACCGGUGGCGAAGGCGGCCAACUGGACGAAUACUGACGCUGAGACUCGAAAGCGUGGGGAGCAAACAGG